rnacentral:lncRNA from 1 species
CAAGUUAGGUCCCAAGCUGACUGAAACAGUCAAGAGAAAGCUAUCAUUGGGAGCUAAGAUCAUUCAAAUGGGAGGCUUAGAGAAGAUUUAUAAACGUCUUUUCAGAGUCCACGAAGAAGAGAAACUCUUCAAGGCGUACCAAUGUUACCUAUCCACAACCGCAGGUCCCAUAGCAGGCUUACUCUUCAUCUCAUCAAAGAAGAUUGCUUUCUGCAGCGAGAGAUCUAUCAAAGUGGCUUCUCCUCAGGGAGAUCUAACCAGGGUUCACUACAAAGUGUCAAUACCAUUGUGCAAGAUCAAUGGAGUGAACCAGAGUGUGGACACGAAGAAGCCAUCUCAGAAGUACCUAGAAGUAGUCACUGCGGAUGGCUUUGAGUUCUGGUUCAUGGGUUUCUUGAGCUACAAGAAAGCUUUCAUCUGUCUCGAGCAAGCGCUUUCUCUGAGCAUGGAGCUAUAACAAGGCUAUGGCUGAAGAGGAAACAUUUCAUUUUUAAUGAGGAGAUAGCCUAGAAAAGUUAGACAAUAUUGUACAAACUAAAUUUUUUUAUAGCUUUAACCCUUUGGUUAUCCAUUGUUGACAAGAGCAAGAGACUGAAUAUAUUUAGCUUCUCUCAUAUAUUUUCCUUAUGUCAUAGUUUUCUUUUGCACCAUAACGUGACCAAAGAAAAUAUAAUGACAUGAGUAUGACCAUAUCAUAAUCUUGACCUCCAAGCAUUUAGAAACUUUUGAGAUUUACAGGAUCAUCAAUCUUCCUCCUAAGACAAAUAAAGCCAACAAUGAUCGAGGCUUAAGAAACCAGGAGGAUUCUUCCAUUUUAACAAAAAUCAAAUCAAUCAUAACAAAAGCUUUAGGAUAACACACACUUUGCUCCAUUGUAUUACAUGGAGAAUCAGAGUCUUCAAGUACCUAGUGCCUGAACAAAAUUAAUAUAUGUGGAAAUGACAAUGCACAGGAGAGAGUGCAUCAGCAUAGCAAAGCCACCCAAUCUACAUGCAAAGAAAAGCAGGGAACCCUCCGAUGACCAAAUAUUUCUUUUAGGUUAAGGCAAAUCGUCACUCACAUUUACCUUUUAAAAACUUUUUAUACAUUUUGUUAAUGUUAAAUUCGAUCAUACACACGUCAGAAAAUAGCAACGAUUACAGGAUAAACUAUUUAAUUACAUAUUUGAAUGUGACCCGUCUUUUUUUUUGCGCUCCCCUUUAUUUAUUUGUAACUUUUCUUUGACCAAUCGACCAUUUCCCUAAUCCCCACCGAAGUAUAUUUUUUACUCAUAAGUACGCGUCGACAUACAUAUUGAAUUGCUCGUAUAUUAUAAGUCAAAAUAUCUUAUCCGACUAAGGACAUGGACCCCGAAGAUAAAGCUUCAAAUUGAAUGGGUUAAUUGUGACUUGUGACGGUACAAAUAAUAUGAUUAUAUAUAUAUAUAUAUAUAUAUAUAUAUAGUAAAAAAAUUCUAUGAUCUCUAUGAUGCAGAAAAUUUCCGACUGAUAAAUUAUACAAAAUGCGUAGUUUUCAACUAUUUGUUAGACCAUUGGAGUGGGAUGUUACCAUAAGUAUUAUUAUUGUAACCAAUCAUAACUACAUUUCAUAUCCUUUACCCAAAUAACCAUACUUACAUAUACAACAUUUUAAAUUGGUAGAAACUACCUACUUCAAGUAUGUCGUUGUGACAUAUAUCCUUUCUUUGAAUUUAGUCGUAAUAACAGCUACUAAAUCAUUCAUGUCACUAACGAAUCAUCCACGUUUGAUUCUUUUCGAUAUACAUGUACCGAUAUGAUCAAAAAUAGCUUAAUACAAUGUCCACUAUAUUUUAUCAUGCAUAAUAAAUCAAAUAUAUAUAUUCAUUAGCUUAUAUGUGUAUACACAACCAUGUGAAUAUCACAUGGCUGACGAAUUGAUGAAUAACAUGUAUACUAUUUGGCAUUGGCGGGAUCCAAUUCAAAUGGAUCUCCUUUGUGUGUGUGUUUAUAUAACUAAUUUCUUGCUCUUUAUAUAUUAAAUAAAUGUUUUGAUAAAAAAAAAUAUUAAAUAAAUGAAUUAUAACCGAUAUUUCUUAUCGUACAGACAAUGACAUCAGAAAGUCGCGAUGCCAGCGCAGAAAGCUCCAAAGCCACAACGUCCUCUUCUGCAUGGCUCAAUUUUCACUCACAUAUUCAGAAAGUGUUACUUAAUAUUUGAUUUUACUGUUCCAAUUAAUUAGGAUACAUAUCUUAUAUCCUCUGUACAUAUAUAUAUAUGCGAAAAAUAAAAUCAUGCUAGAAAAUGAGAAAAGAAAAGUAAUUGGAACAUUAAAAACCAAAUAUUACGUAACACUCAUAUAUAUAUGCGAAAAUAAAAUCAAUCUAGAAAAAUAAGAAAAGAAAAGUAAAGAAGUUUGCUAUUUUGCCAACUUGUAGUUAAAAAAGCUUAUCGGAUAAUUAACGUCAUUGCAUGGAUCAUCUUUCCUUCUUUGACAUGUUUUUCUUUUUCACCUUUUCGACAUUAAUAUACAUGGAUCAUCAAUUUGCAUGGCAUCUUCUAAGUUUCAAUAUACUACUAACUAGAAAUCAAAGGUUGCGUGAUAUUUGAAGAGGAUCCUUGAAAUUGCAUUUCUAAAUUGUUCUGUUAUUUGGAAAAACAAAAACGAAAACUUAAAACAUUUCAUCAGUUCUUGAGAUUUUUUUACCAAUUGUGUCCUUGCAGUGCCGUCCCGUAUAUUUGUGUGGCUUAAAGCAUUUGAAAAAAAUGUGGCCUUUACAAAAAAAAUGUUUGGUUCAAAGAUUAAUGUUAAGUUAAUUAGAAUUUUGUUUCCAAAGUAAAAACAAAAAGAAGGUUUUUUCAUAAAAACGAAAAACAGUAAAAUGAAUAUCAAGAUAGGGAAUCAAACUGAGGUUGAGAGAAAUAAAUAUUUUCACCUAACCAUUUUAACUACAUCAAUUUGUAUGGAUGUGACCAGAUUAGUUUUUAAAAUAUGUGGCCUAAAGCCAAUGCUUUACGUGCCUUAGUGAAGGGACGGCCCUGUGUCCUUGCAUGGAUUGAGUAGCUGCAAAAACCUUUAUUUUUUUGUUUCUCCUUUAACUAUAUUUUUUUUUCUCGAAAAAUUAAAGAAAAAAUAGAGGAUAUGCAUGAUCUUCUCAUUGCCUUUACCCCCAAGAAAGUGGCUUUAUGUGUGUCUUGAUGACCCAUCCAUGACUCAUCCAUUACCACAAAGAUCCUCAAGUCUCAACUGCCUCUUGUCUCUUUGUCUUUCCUUUUAAAUAACCUUCCCACCACACAGUUUCAUCAUCACCUAUCACUCAUAAUCUCUCUCUCUCUCUCUCAAGAUCAAGAUCAAGAUCAAGAUCACCACUCAAUCCUCCAGAUGACAAUGAGCACACUCAACCAACAAGUUCUCGCACUUCCAGAAGCCAAGACUGCUCCAUCAGGUUACUUUUCUGACCUAGCUUCCAUCAACAACCUCCAAAUCCCAACAUCUUCCAAGAACUCUGAACAAAUCAAGAAAAAAACUAUUCUGAGAAAGAAGAAAACCGAGAGCUUCACAAACGAUAAUAGAGAUCAAAACAAGUUAGGGCCCAAUCUGACAGAAACAGUCAAGAGAAAGCUAUCAUUGGGAGCUAAGAUCAUUCAAAUGGGAAGCUUAGAGAAGAUUUAUAAACGGCUCUUUAGAGUCCACGAUGAAGAGAAACUCUUCAAGGCUUACCAGUGUUACCUAUCCACAACCGCAGGUCCCAUAGCAGGCUUACUCUUCAUCUCAUCAAAGAAGAUUGCUUUCUGCAGCGAGAGAUCUAUCAAAGUGGCUUCUCCUCAGGGAGAUAACGUCAGGGUUCACUACAAAGUGUCAAUACCACUGUGCAAGAUCAAUGGAUUGAACCAGAGUGUGAACACGAAGAAGCCCUCUCAGAAAUAC